UACGUAGGUGGCAAGCGUUGUCCGGAUUUACUGGGCGUAAAGAGCGCGCAGGCGGCUGGCCAAGUCCGAUGUGAAAUCUCCCGGCUUAACCGGGGAACUGCGUCUGAUACUGGCGGGCUCGAGGCCGGUAGGGGGAAGUGGAAUUCCCGGUGUAGUGGUGGAAUGCGUAGAUAUCGGGAGGAACACCAGUGGCGAAGGCGGCUUCCUGGACCGGUUCUGACACUGAGGAGCGAAAGCGUGGGGAGCGAUCCGG
rnacentral:rRNA from 1 species